GGCAAGUGGCGGCCCUUUUGCCCCCUAAGUUAUGAUAUAUAUACACUCGCGCAUACGUAAGUCGGCAGUGCAGCCCCGUGAGCCAAAUGCACCUUGAUUCCUCUUCGUUGAAAAUGAAAACAAUGGUAAGCAUCCCAGAGGCUCCUUUGGGCUCCACCGGCAAAACCAUACCUCUUGUUGGCUUCGGCACGGCCCAAUUUCCGUUCGGAGCAGCCACUGAAGCAGUAAAAGAAUCCGUUGUGCAUGCAAUAGAAGUCGGCUACAGACACUUCGACACCGCCGCAAUAUACCAGUCCGAGGAGCCUCUUGGGGAAGCAAUAGCCCAAGCGUUGCGUCUUGGGCUCAUCAAAUCACGCGAUGAGCUCUUUAUCACUUCAAAGCUUUGGUUCGGCCACGCACACCGUCAACUUGUCCUCCCUGCACUACAAACUUCUCUCAAGUAACUAAAUUAAGUUAAUUACAAGCUAGCUCAUUGCCUAGCUGCAGGCAUGUAUCAUCUAUGGUUUAAGGUUGACUGAUUGGUUGCUGACGUUAUUGAUAAUUUAUUUUUGCAGGAAUCUGGGAUUGGAGUAUAUUGAUUUGUAUCUGAUUCAUUUUCCGGUAAGCUUGAAGCCUGGAACAGGGUUCCCAUUCAGUAAAGAAGAUAUUGAGCCACUUGAUUAUGAGGGUGUUUGGGAGGCCAUGGAGGAGUGUCAAAAUCUCGGCCUCACUAAAUCCAUUGGAGUCAGCAACUUUGCUUGCAAGAAACUUGAGAGGUUACUUGCUACUGCAAAAAUCCCUCCUGCUGUCAAUCAAGUGAGUCCAAUAAUCUUAAUUAAUUAUAUGUAUUUAAAAAUUAAAACAGAGCUGUUUAAUUGUGUUUUGUAUAAAUUAAUUAAUUUAAUUAUAUGUAUUUAAAAUGAAGCUGAAUCCCUCCGGCUGCCAAUCAAGUGAGUGCAAGUUCUGCAGUGCGUCGGACAGCUAAUUUAAGUUAAAAAUAUUAAUCAUGAAAAUAUGCAUAUAAAUUUUUUUUUUUCCUUUUAUUUGGGUAGGUGGAGUUGAACCCAGUUUGGCAGCAAAAGAAGCUGAGAGAUUUCUGUGAGAAGAAAGGCAUUCAUAUUACAGCCUACUCGCCGUUAGGAGCCAAAGGAACAAUAUGGGGAACUAAUCGAGUCAUGGAAUGUCAGGUGCUGAAAGAGAUUGCAAACGCUAAAGGAAAGUCUGUUGCCCAGGUAUUUUUUUUUUUUUCCCCAAAUUUUUAUCCGAGUUUGACAAACAUAAUUUGGUUGUAAAUGCACACGUGGCAUAAGAUCGAAGGGCAUCUUUUAUGUUGAUCUUGAUUAUAAGGUUUAUUUUGGUGUGCUUGAAGGUUUCUUUGAGGUGGGUUUAUCAGCAAGGAGUGAGUUUGGUCGUGAAAAGCUUCAAUAAAGAAAGAAUGAAAGAAAACCUCGACAUAUUUGAUUGCGAAUUAAGUGCCGAGGAGCUGCAAAAGAUCGAACAAAUUCCACAGUAUAGAGGAAGUCGCAGUGAGGAGCACGUGUCAGAGGAUGGUCCUUAUAAAUCCUUGGAGGAUCUAUGGGAUGGAGAAAUUUAAUUAAUUUAACAAUAAAGACGCAAUUAAAUCAUUAAAUAACUUAAUUUAACGCAUAGUUUGUUCCCAGUGACACUAGUUCAUACUAUGUCUAAAUACCUGCGAAGACAAUCGUGUUGCAGUUUUUUUUUUCUUUUUUUUUUUCCUUUCUUUCCAGGUUAUAUGUGUUAAUACCCCAUACUUGUCCUAAUCUUUUCGUUUUUAGGCUUUUCACAUGAAUACGUAUUGCAUGUUUAUCAAUAUUACAUUAUAACUAAUAUUAUUUUUUAACUCUACUAUUACGCUUCCAUGGCAUAAUAAUUUAAGUAGUUUUAUUGCCACCGUUUCAACAUGUGCCGCCAUUGCAGAAAACCGUUUGUGGCAAGGUGAGAAAGUUCUCAUUUAGUAAAAUUAUUUAGACCUGUUAGGUAUGAAGAUUGGGUAAUUAUAAUUUUAAAAAGUUACGAUAUUAUAGUGUUUGGUAAAAAUUAAUUAUUUUAAUUUGAAAAUUAAAUUAAUUUUAUCCACCACUUAUAUGAUAAAAAACUUAUAAUAUUUUUAUUACUUUUGUUAAAAUAAUCAUUCAAAAUUAUAAAUUUUUUUUUCCUAAAAUAGCUGUAACUUAAAAGUUAUAACACCUCAAUAUAAAAUAUAACUUUAAUUUUACCUUCUGAUAUUCUGAUUGGAGUUCUCAAUUUAUGUUGUGGUUGAAAAAAUUAUGUGCGCUGAUUUGAAUCUCAUAAUGUAAAUUUGCUAACGCAAGAUUUGUUCUCUGUUAGGCAAAACAUUCUUAGGCAGUUUUGACAUUAUAAAUCUCGCAUUUUGAGCAUGAAAAUAAAUUAUUUGAGCAUACGUAAAUAAGACAAAUAAAAAUUAUAGCUGUUUCCUAAUUUUUUUAGCUUCCUAACCUUAAAAGACUAGUCACUUUGGUCAAUAACACAUAUACAAUAUAUUGUUAAAGUAAGAGUAAUUCUUUUUACAUCUGUUUAAAAUCCUUCUAUAAUUCCGUUUUUAGUUCUAUUACUAUUAGAAGUUACGUUAACGGACAAUAUGAAUUUAACAAAAUUAAAAUCUUUACCCCUACAGAUUAUGAAUCCUCCCAUCUUCAAAUCCCAAUUUAUGAUUUAAUUAUUUUUGUUUACAAAUUCAAAAUAGAUUUGAGAUAAUGAAGAAAUAAAAUUACCUAGUGAUAAGAUUGUUAUUUUAAAAAAUUAUAUUUAAAAUUUGAUUUACUCCAUUAUAAUGUUUAAUCGUUUUUCUUAAUUUUUUUACAAUAGUAGGUGCAAAUAAAUAUAAUAAUGGGGUUUCGCAACAGUUUAAAAGGGUUUUGAUUGCAAUUAAGAUCCGAAGCCGAAAAAGGCCCAAAAUGCAAGCCCAUUAUCAUCAGGAGCUCUCGAUAAAUGAAGUUCUCAAAUGUUUCCAAAAGCCCAAUGGCAAGGUCAUGUGCAAAAGGCUCCCAUUUAAGUCCCUUGCCCGAAGAGAAACACUCGACGGUUCUCAAAAUGGAAGGCUGGUUUGUGGCAUCUGUUUAAGCUGUCUUACAGCAGGAACCGUGAAGCCAAUUUGCAGACGUCAAAAGGGGGGUUUAUCAUUAAAAUUAUAGUAUGUCAACUCGGAAGUGAUGGUGAAUUUAGAAGUAUUUCAUAAAUUUUGAGUCUCAUAUGCAAUCCGACACAAAUUAAAUCACUUUAAACCUAAAGAAGAGAGUAAAUAAUUAAAGUAUUGUAAAGGGUUAAGCGAAAAUAAAUAUCUUACGUGGUUAGAUAAUAUUGAUAUAUAUUCACAACUCUGAAAGGUAAAAAAAUUGUGUAGCUGAGAUGGUGUUCCCCACACUCUAUAGAUAGGAUGCACAAAAUCUUUUAUGUUAAAUAAUAUAAUUUCAUUUAAUUAAUUUGUGGGUUUCAAUACUGAGGUGGUGUAUUCAUCUCAUAUAAGUUUUCUCUCCUUUGAAAGAAAACAAAUUAUAAACUUAAUUUGUUUCAUUAAUGAAAACCAAGAAUUAAAACUUAUCUCCAAAUCUUCUCUCAACAAUAUCCAAUUCAAACGAUACAACUUGAUCUCAUAUGUUGCUCAUGACAGAACCAAGAAGAAGAUUUUAUUUUUCUUCUCUUUUUCUUUUCUUUUCUCUCUUUUCUCUCCAUCUCUCUCUCUCUCUCUCUCUCUCUCUCUCUCUUUUCCUUUAUCUCGUUUUUCUUUCCUCAGCCAAUCUCUCUCUCCCUCUCUUUUCCUUUAUCUCGUUUUUCUUUCCUCAGCCAAUCUCUCUCUCCCUCUCUUUCUUAUAAUGGAAAGGGAAAAGGACACAGAGACCCCUAACGUUUGAAUAAGGGACACAAAACCCCCUAAUGUUUCAAAAAAGACACUCAGACCCCUAUUUCUUAAUAGUAAAUUAUAAUUUUACCAUUAUACCCUUAUAGCAUAUUAAAAAAUAAUUGUUCAUUAUCCAAUUUAUUUUUAUAUUAUUAAUAAAAUUACGAAUAUAACUUCAUUACCCAAUUUUUCCAUUUAAUUUUUAUCAAAUUUUAUCUUCAAACUAAAUAAAUUUAAUCUAUUGCUCAAAAAUAAAAAUAAAUUAAAUUGAUUAUUAAUAUAAUAAAAAUAACAAUUCUCCAUAUGUUAUUUCUUAUAAUUUCUUAUAUAUAAAUUAAAUUGAUAAUUUCUUAAAAAUAACAAUUCUCCAUAUAUAAAUUAAAUUAAUUUUAAUUUAAUAUAUGUUAUUUUUAUAUUAAAUAUAUGUUAUUUUUAUUAUAUUAAUAAUCAAUUUAAUCUAUUUUUAUUUUUGAGCAAUGGAUUAAAUUUAUUUAGUUUGAAGAUAAAAUUUGAUAAAAAUUAAAUGGAAAAAUUGGAUAAUGAAGUUAUAUUCGUAAUUUUAUUAAUAAUAUAGAAAUAAAUUGGAUAAUGAACAAUUAUUUUUUAAUAUGCUAUAAGGGUAUAAUGGUAAAAUUAUAAUUUACUAUUAAGAAAUAGGGGUUUGAGUGUCUUUUUUGAAACAUUAGGGGGUUUUGUGUCCCUUAUUCAAACGUUAGGGGUCUCUGUGUCUUUUUCCCUAAUGGAAAAGACAUAUUAUUUUUUGAGUGAUGAUAUAACCACAAACUCUUGUACAAAUUUAUUUUGUACAAACUGACGUGGCAUUAAUUCAUUGGUAGAAUGAAAAUAUAAAACAAUAAAACAAAUCAUGUGGGCCAUGUGAUAUUUAAUUCAACCAAUCUUAUCAUGCCACAUCAGUUUGUACAAAAUAAGUUUGUACAAGAGUUUGUGGCUAUAUAAUUACUCUUAUUCUUUUUAUACUAGGAAAAAAAAUCACUAAAAUUACUUAAAUACCCUUAGGAGAAUUAGAAUAUUACAUUAUGCACUUAAUUAGUCAUCAUUGAUUGGCUCCUUUUGAUUUCCCUAACUGUAUUACUCCCCAUUAAAAAUAUGGUCUGGCAAAAGAAGCAGAGCAUCUAUAUACAUGAACCCUAACAAAUUUGAGAGAUAAAUCUCCAUAUUAAAUCACAAAUUAAAAUUAGGUUCAUGUUUGACAUAAAAUAUAAAAAUAGUUGAGAACUUCUAUUUCUAGUAAAAGGAGGGAGCAAAAAGAAAGAAAUUUUGGGAACAUUAGUUAUAAUGCCUGUGGGUCUAUAGCCCCUCCUUCAACAAAUUUUGUGAGCAUAAGAUAUGAGCACAAAUAAUGGCAUUGAUCUAUUGGGUGCUAUCUCUUGGGUUGAAACAAAAUAUUUGGAAUUGGAAUCUUGCUCCCAUCCAUGAUGAGAAAUUGAGUUAUCAUAAUGUAAAUUUUGUUUUAAAAAAAAGACAGUAAUUAUGGAGAUUUUAGUCUCUUCAUUUUACAAGAAACACAAGUAAUGAUAAUUAGGGUAAACCCUUUAAUUUAAGAUCUCAACCUAUUAAUAAAUCCAACCUCAAAUCUAGGAAGAGAAAAAUGAAGUUGAAAUCUUUUAAUGAUUGCUCUAAAGUUUGAAUUAAUAUCAACAUCACUCCUAAGAUUUUGCAUAAGUAGAGUUCAGGUGACAUUUAUUGGUAGGAACUAUCAUUUUAAAAAAAAAAAAAAUUUGUUGAAUAAAAUCAACUUUAAAAAUUAACAGUUGCUGUAAAUAUAGAUAGACGAUACAGGAAGUAUAAAGAGGACAAUGCAGAAGAAGCAUUAUGUUAAUGUAUGAGAGAAUUAUCCCAUUCAAACUUUUGGUACAAACAUUACCAAGUUUAGCCCUCGUACUUAUAGUGCUAUUUGUCCAACCAUAAAUGGUAAAAGUUUCAUAACACAUGGCAAAAUUACAAAACUCACAUUAUCUCCACGUGUGGGCAUUCUUUACCACAAAAAAUUCCAUACAUAAAGGGCAUGUUUAGUUAUAAUAUUAAGGGGGUAUUAAAAUACUAUUCACAUUAGCUUAAUAUUAAUAUCAUGUUUGAUAAAAUUUUAUAAUGAAUUAAGGGGUAUGCUAAUGGGGCAAACUGUCGCAUUAGCUAAACCUGACUGGGAGUAGGGAAAAGCUAAUGCGGCAAACCUUUUGUGCUUUUGCAUUUGCUGUUUCUUUUUUUUUUUUACUUUUGCUUUUGCUUUUUUUUAAUAAUAAUAAAUAAUAUAACUUUUUAAUAUAAUAUAAAUUUUUAUUUUCUUUUUAUUUUUAUAUCAUAAUUAUUAAUAUAAAUUAAUAAUUUAUUAUUCAUAUUUUAAUUUUUAUUAUAUUAAAAAUAUUACUAAAUAAUGUAUUAGUUAAUUAUAUAAUAAUUAAUAUAUGAAAUUGAUUAAUAAGUACUUAAAUAAUAUAUAAAAAUAAGAAUAUAACUUGAUAUUACAUUAUUUAAUUAUAUUAUAGUAAUUAAUAUCUAAAAAUUUAAUAUAACUAAUAAAAAUAUUUAUAUAUAAAUAAAUUUAAAUAAUAUUAAUCUAAAUUAAAUGUUAUGUUGUCGAUUAUAAGGUUAUAAGCUUCAAUUUUUAUGGAAAAAUUAUUUUUUUAAUAUUUAUACUAAAAAAUAAUGUUAAAUUUCUAAAAUUUAAGACUUUUAUAUUUUAUAAUUUUGUAGGUACUAAUAAAUAUUAUUUCUAAAUAUAUAAUUUAAGUUAAUCACAAAAAAAUUAAUAUAGUACAGUGUAGCACCAAAUAUUAUACAAUAUUAUUAUAAUAUAGUGUUAAUGCAACAUAAUAUAAUACAAUACAGUGUGUCAAACACACCCAAAAAAUUUAAUGUCGCGGACAGAAAGCUAACGAUCCCUUGCGGUACUCCCACAUCCCACAGUACGAGAGUAAGCCUAAAAUAAUUGAGCAUCACGAUUGCGAUCCGUGAUAUUAGUCUUCCAACAAAUAGCAGUAAUGCAGAAUGCGUAGCUUUUUUGCUAAGGUAUCUAUCAGACCUAUUUGCAUCAUAAUAGACUUACACUAGCUGGAAAUAUCAAGGGAAAUUUACAGUAAUAACCAAAAAAAUUAUGCUUUUUUUCAUCUUAACCCCCCAAAAAUAUUUCUAUCAACAUUAGCCAUUAAACAACCUUUGAGACCAAAAUACCCCUCCCUCAUCUCUCCCCCAACACUCCCUUUCACUCAUCUCUCCCAAACCGAUCCAACUCCCAUCAUCGGCGGCGACAUCAACCCUCGUUGGCGGCGGCUCCAUCUCUCACCGGCAUCCGAUCUAUGAUCUAAUAGUGGUGGUGAUGAUGUUUGUGGUGGUUGGUGGUGUUUGGGAGUAUUGUUUUCGAUUUCGGAGUGAUUGCGGUUAAUUUUGGGGGUGGGGAGGGAGGGGGGUAGGGCGCGCUCGCGCGCCCAUCGCUGGGCAGCAGCGCGCGGCCCGCUGUCUCACCAGAUCUGGUGCGACAGGCGCGCGCCUGUCGCACCAGUUCUUUGGUGCGACAGGCUUGCAUGUCGCACCAGUUUUGGUGCGACAAGCUUGCCUGUCGCACCAGUUUUCUUCUUGCAUGAAAACCAACCGGCUUCAGGACCUGUAGAAGAUAGACAAGAAACUGAAUUCUUUCAUAUUUUCAAUGUUCUCGCUAUUGCCGUAGCUGUCUAUUUGUUGGUCUUUGACAUCACUGGAAAUCAUGGCCGCGUUCUCUCUUUAUAUUUUGCGGUAGGACUCAUUUUCCUUCUGGCUUUACCAUUGGCUGUUCCUUUAUACGUUGUUCUGUUUAAGUCAAAAUCCAACUCAGACAUUGAGCAACCAAGCAGAGAACCAUUGCUUGCCCCUCAAAAAUCUUCAACAUAGAAGCAAGAAAUAGUAACAGCUAUUGUUAAAGUGGAGGAUGCUGAAAGAAACAGAAAACCAUUAAUAGGGGAGGAGCACACAAUUGUGCAAAUGUUACAAACAUAUGAUUUCUGGAUUCUGUUUGCAUCUUUUCUUUGUGGCGUGGGCACAGGAAUGUGUGUGAUGAACAACAUGGGACAGAUGGGGCUGGCACUUGGCUUCAAUGAUGCAUCCAUGCAUGCUUGGAUUUGGAUUAGACAUUUUGCUUGCUGUUAGAACAAAGAAUAUUUAUUCUAAGAGCAAAGUGGAAAAGAAAUUCAUUAGCGAAACAGAGGAUUCAACUUCAAUAAAAAGCUGAGAAUCAGGAUCUUGUAUAGAAGAGCAUUUUUAAACAAAUACAGCCCUACAAUACAAUCAAUAACCAAAGACACGGAGAGUUGAGUUCUUCUCCUGCUUGUCUUGUCUGUAAUUAUUGCUCCAUUUCGGCACAACUCUUGCUUCUCUUAUAAUGUCUCUUUUCUUUCUGUAAAUCUUACAAACAAUUAUAAUAGUGUUCGUUAGCUCGAUUGAUCCUUUGCCUGCUUGGUGCGACAGGUGCCUGUCGCACCAAGACUUGGGCCUGUCGCACCAAGCUUCUUUUCGUUUGUAAAGAAGGGUAAUUUGGGGAGAAAAGCGUGUGUUUGGCUAAUGUUGAUAGAAAAAAGUUGAAAGAGUUAAUUGUGAAAAUAGUAAAAAUUUUAUGGUUAUUUUCGUAAAUUUCCCAAAUAUCAAACACUUGUUCAAUGCAAAUCUUACUUAACUAACAAAAUCUGCCAAUCACAAUGGUGGAUAGCCACUAAUAUCACAACAAUAACGAGUCCCAUAAAUUUUUACUAGAUAAUGAAAUAAAUAAUAAAAAAAAAGUUAUGACCUCACGUAUUACGAGAUAACCAGUGAAAUUUAAAGAAAAAAAAUACAAUAAAGACGAGCUCCAAGAUCGGACAAAAAAAUAAAAAAAAUAGAUGUUGCCGAUUUCGGUCAAUAAUAUUGGAGAAGAUUUCCCUUCAUCAUUUGUUUUAUCUUAUUUUCCUACCUACUACGUUGUCAGUAAAUAUACAAAAAUAACAGCCACGUCAUGUGAUUCAUUUAUUUAUUUUUAAAGAUUUUGUUUCAUGUAUUUUUUAAUUUAUUAACGACGAAUAACUUUUACUCAAAAUUAAUUUAAUUCUGACCUUGACUCAGCCUCAUAAUCUUCUUUUUUUUAUUGUGAGAAGCUCAUGAACAGUAACGUGGCAAAGUGGCGGAAGUGUAGAGCUUGUUUUCUAAUUUAUACAGAGCCUUUUUUUUUUUUUUUGGAGGGGGGGGGGGGGGGGGGGGGGUGGGGGUGUGUGGUGCCAUAUAAUCACACUUGCCCUCUGGAUUUACUGCAACAUAUGCCAAGGUUAAUUUCUGGACUCGUAUUUUUCAUUAAUAUAAUUUUCUAAAUUUUCAUCAAUUGUUUAAUGAAAAAUGAUCAUUGCACCACCUUUAUUUUACUUUAUGUUCAUCCAACAUUAUAUGACGCAGAUAAUUUUUUUUAUCCAACCAAUGCACAAGAUAUAUGACUCAAUUCUUGUCUAAUUCCUUUUUUAAAAAAAAAAAUUAAUAUCUCAUUCAAAUUGGAAGGCGAGAUUUUAUUAAAAAAAUUGGAAGGCAAGUUGAAUAAUAUAUAGUUGCAAUGAUGGAUUUAUUUCUUUAUUAAAUGUAGGGGUAUUUUUAUAAUUAUAAUUUUUUAUUUUCAAAACUUUUACAAGAUAAAAUAAUAUUUUAAUUUAUUUAUGGGUAAAAUUAUUAUUUUGUUUAAAUUAUUUAAUGGUGUUAGUGUAAAAGUGGCUAAUUGAUAUAAAUUUCAAAAGAAAUAUAGUGUAGAGAACAUAUUAGAAUUUUAUGAUGGUUGGAUGAACAUAAGGUAGAAGAAAGGUGGUCCAAUGAUAAUUUUCCAAAUUUAAAAUGUAAACAAUGCCAGACGAAACCUUAUUGCCUCAAAGACAAGGUCUUUAUUAUAAUAUAUUUUAAUGAAUCAAACUACCAAGUUUCAUGUGCCAAAGAUUUAUGGUGAUCUUCUUAUUAAAGAUUAUUUUCUAAGUUCUAAUAUCAAACCUUGUAUCUGUGUUGCACGCAAGUUUCUGUAUUAAAUCAGAUAGGAAUCUCUGCACACGGAGUAUUUUUCAUUUUCCGUACUCGUGAUAUUUGUUAAUCCAUACAUAUAUUUUCUUGGUUUUCAUUUUCUUGAUCAAUUAUAAGAUUUUGUUUAGGAUCCGACUAUAAUGGAGAUGCUCCACCAUAUAAUACGAGCAAAAUUAUAAUGUAUAUUUUAUUAUUUAUCAAUUUAGUCAUAUAGUUAUGUAGGAGUGUUCAACGGCAUAGCAUCUCCAACAUAAUUAUUACCUUUUGUUUAAUAUGCAUUGAUUUGAAUAGGUUUUUUUUACUUUUCUAGGGAUUUCAAUAAGGUGAUGUUUGGUUGAGAGGAGAGAAUGUAGAAUAGGAAAAUAAUUUAAAUUCUCUUUUUAUUUCCAUUGUUUAAUUUGACAAAAUGUAUAAGAAUUUAAUUUCUGUUAGAAUUUAAUAUCCAUCGUAAUAUAAAAUUUGAAUUCCAUACUAAGUAGUGAAAAAUUUAAAUUCCUCUUAUAUUAGAAAAUAGAAACUAAAGUUUUCAAAAUUACCCUUCAAAUUUUUAACUUAUUUAAUGCCAUUAAUAAUUAUUAUUUAUAAUUUUAUUUUAUUGAUUUACUAUUAUAAAUGGACCUCCACCGGACCACCGCCAGACCUCGCCGGAAGGUCGCCAGACCACCGUCGGGCUUUGCCGGAAAGUCGCUGAACCUAUGCCGGACUUCGCCGGACCUCCGCCACCGGCCACCAUACCGCCAUUUUAUUUUAUAUAUAUUAUUACUAAUAUAAAUAAUUUAAUAUUUAAAGUAAAUGAUAAAUUUUUCUAAAGAAAAAAAUUAUAAUUCAUUUUCUUAUAAAAUUUUAUAUCAAACCAAACAAUAAAAUCUAAUUUUACUACUUUUCUCCAUUCCUUUCUUCUCAUUUCCUCUCCAUUCCACUCUUUUCCUCUCCUUCAUUUUCUUCAAACCAAACAUAACCUUAGUAGUUAGUGAUUUCCUCUUUUUCUACUAAUUAAUUUGGCGUUAUUCCAUGGGGCUUUGAUUUGAAUUUAGUUGCGACUUCUGAAGUACCAAUUUCGAUUCAUUUUUUGUUGCUUUCCUUGUGUAAAUCCAAGUCAAUACGCGGUUGCAAUUUUGUCUUUUGCAAUUAAUUUGGCCUAUUAACAAUGCCUUAGAUUUGACCUAGAUUUGAUCCUUUUCGUCUCAAACGAAUUAUUUAUUAGUUUUAUUUAUUAUUUUUUGUCUAUUAAAAGAUAUGUUCAAAAUUGAUUUUUACAUUUUAAUUUUUUAACAUAACAACUGCAACAAGAAAAAACGACAAAUAGAAGAAGAUGAAGUAGACGAAGACAAAGAAGAAGAUUAAAGGACAGAAGAAGAAGGAUAAGACUACAAAAAAUACUUUCUAUUUUAAAUAAAAAGUAAAAAAAUAUACUAAAAGUAUUGAUUUGCUGGAUUGGCUAAGUCACAUUUCAUGUAAUUAAAGAAUGCCUCUAAAACAUGCAAAAAGUCAUAACAUUCAAGGGGGAUCCACUUGAACUUUCCAAGAGCUGUAAGUUACAUGAAGGACUCAUUGUUUAAUUAGAUAUUGUUUAAGAGAUUAGAAAUAAAAUUUUUAGGGUUUAUGGAAAGAGAAUUAUAUAUUAAAUGGCAAGUGUGUUAUAUGAAUGUUCAGAAUCUUUAUAUGUUAGUUUAUAAGAGAGAGUCCAUAUUAAUAAUUCAUAUGAUGAGCAUUUUUGUAAUAAAAUAAUUUAUUAAAAUAAGAGGUACUCAGAAUUAUUUUUAAAGUACAAAUAAAUUCACUCAAACAUAAUUUAGUUUUUUUUCCCUUCUGAAACUCACUCUUCAGUUUUUAUCACUGCCAUAACUGAAUGCAAUUUCAAGAACCUAAAGAAUAUAGUCCUAAUGAUACAAAUGAAAUUUCAAAUAAUAUCAUAAUCCUUUCCUGAUCUAAGCUAUUCUGAACUUGUAAAAAUCUUGAGCCAUCUAUCUUUUAACGUUAAUGUAUAAUUAAGAUUUAGGGCCAGAUUGGUAAUAUUGUAAUUUUUUUAAAUAAUUGUUAUUAAUUAUGUUAUAGAAAUAAUCAGCUAUAGAAAAAAUCAGUUAAACAUUUAGUAAAAUUUACUUUUAAAAGUGCUGUGAUUUUUAAAAGCAGUCGUAUGUUUUUGUAAAUUUUACUAUUAAAUUGUUAUAAGAAUGUAAAUGACUAAAUUAGAUAUAAUAUUGAAUAAAAUUUAUUUAUGCAUUUAUAAAUAUGUUUAUAAAUUAUUUUAUUAUUGUGUAUAUAUUAUAAUUAAUAACCAAAAUACAUAUUUUAUGUUAUUAGUUUUAUUUAUUAUUUUGUUAUCUCAAUAUAAUUGAUGAUGAUGAUGAUAAUGAUAAUCUCAUUAAAGUUAGUGAUUUUAUUUCUAAAUUAAUAAGAAUAAUUUUAAAUUUUUAUGAUACAUAUGACAAUAUAUAUACAAUUGUUUUAAGUAUAAAACUGAUUUUUAGAAUCAAUAUUAAAAAGCUACGACUUCCUAAUUAUUCAAAAUUUGCUUUAGGAUAGAGGUGAUCUUGGUAAAAGUGAUUUUUAAAAAUUUUUAUCAUAUACUAAAAUUAAUUUUUAUUUUUUAAAAAUUACUUAUAAGCUUCCCAAAAAUAAUUCUAAAAAAACCCUUAAUCACUUUUAUUUUUUAAUUUAUUAACUACUCGCCAUAAAAAUAAAUUUACUCAAACACACACACACACACACACACACACACACAUAUAUAUACAUACAUAUAUAUAUAAAAUGAGAAGCUCAUCACCAGCAACAUGGCAAGUCGCGGUCCUGUUGACCUAUAAGUUAUAUAUAUAUAGAUAGCUACAAAUUUUUUUAUAAUUUUUUUUGUAUAAAUUGACAUGACAUGUUUUAAUUAUUUAGAUUAGAUAUCUAUUGGUUCGUAUGAUUUAUUUUAUUAUUUUAUAUUUUUAUUCAAUUAAUGAAUUAAUAUCAAAUCAAUUUGUAUAAAAUAAAUUUAUUUAAGAGUUUAUGGUUAUUUGUAUAAAAUAAAUUUAUUUAAGAGUUUAUGGUUAUAAGAUCGAUCAAUGUAUAAGUGGGCACUGCAGCCUCGUAUGCCAUGUGCACUUUGAUUCCUCUUCUUUGAAAAAUGAAAAUGAAAAAAAAGGUAAGCAUCCCAGAGGCUCCUUUGGGCUCCACCGGCAAAACCAUACCUCUUGUAGGCUUCGGCACGGCCCAAUUUCCUUUCGGAGCAGCCACUGAAGUAGUAAAAGAAUCCGUUGUGCAUGCAAUAGAAGUCGGCUACAGACACUUCGACACCGCCGCAAUAUACCAGUCCGAGCAGCCUCUUGGGGAAGCAAUAGCCGAAGCGUUGCGUCUUGGGCUCAUCAAAUCACGCAAUGAGCUCUUUAUCACUUCAAAGCUUUGGCUCGGCCACGCACACCGUCAACUUGUCCUCCCUGCGCUACAAACUUCUCUCAAGUAACUAAAUUAAAUUAAUUACAAGCUAGCUCAUUGCCUA
rnacentral:lncRNA from 1 species